UACGUAGGGUGCGAGCGUUAAUCGGAAUUACUGGGCGUAAAGCGUGCGCAGGCGGCUUUGCAAGACAGAUGUGAAAUCCCCGGGCUUAACCUGGGAACUGCAUUUGUGACUGCAUGACUGGAGUGCGGCAGAGGGGGAUGGAAUUCCGCGUGUAGCAGUGAAAUGCGUAGAUAUGCGGAGGAACACCGAUGGCGAAGGCAAUCCCCUGGGCCUGCACUGACGCUCAUGCACGAAAGCGUGGGGAGCAAACAGG
rnacentral:rRNA from 1 species